UACGGAGGGUGCAAGCGUUAGUCGGAAUUACUGGGCGUAAAGGGCGCGUAGGCGGGAAUGAAAGUCAAACGUGAAAUUUCAAAGCUCAACUUUGAAGCUGCAUUUGAAACUACAUUUCUAGAGGGAUGGCGGAGAAAGUGGAAUUCCACGUGUAGCGGUGAAAUGCGUAGAUAUGUGGAAGAACACCUGUGGCGAAAGCGACUUUCUAGCCUAAACCUGACGCUGAGGCGCGAAAGCAAGGGGAGCAAAC
rnacentral:rRNA from 1 species